UGGGGAAUCUUGCGCAAUGGGGGAAACCCUGACGCAGCGACGCCGCGUGGAGGAAGAAGGCCUUCGGGUUGUAAACUCCUUUGGCAGGGGACGAAGGAAGACGGUACCCUGAGAACAAGCCACGGCUAACUACGUGCCAGCAGCCGCGGUAAAACGUAGGUGGCUAGCGUUGUCCGGAAUUACUGGGCGUAAAGGGCGUGUAGGCGGGGGUGCAAGUCAGGUGUGAAAUACCGCGGCUUAACCGCGGGGGUGCAUCUGAAACUGUACCUCUUGAGUGCCGGAGAGGAAAGCGGAAUUCCCAGUGUAGCGGUGAAAUGCGUAGAGAUUGGGAGGAACACCAGUGGCGAAGGCGGCUUUCUGGACGGCAACUGACGCUGAGGCGCGAAAGCGUGGGGAGCAA
rnacentral:rRNA from 1 species